UAGGGAAUCUUCCGCAAUGGACGCAAGUCUGACGGAGCAACGCCGCGUGAGUGAAGAAGGAUUUCGGUUCGUAAAACUCUGUUGUUAGAGAAGAACAGCGCAUAGAGUAACUGUUAUGCGUGUGACGGUAUCUAACCAGAAAACCACGGCUAACUACGUGCCAGCAGCCGCGGUAAUACGUAGGUGGCAAGCGUUGUCCGGAUUUAUUGGGCGUAAAGCGAGCUCAGGCGGUUAAUUAAGUCUGAUGUGAAAGCCCCCGGCUCAACCGGGGAGGGUCAUUGGAAACUGGUUGACUUGAGUGCAGAAGAGGAGAGUGGAAUUCCAUGUGGAGCGGUGAAAUGCGUAGAUAUAUGGAGGAACACCAGUGGCGAAGGCGACUCUCUGGUCUGUAACUGACGCUGAGGCUCGAAAGCGUGGGUAGCAAACAGG
rnacentral:rRNA from 1 species